rnacentral:rRNA from 1 species
GGGGAAUAUUGCACAAUGGGGGAAACCCUGAUGCAGCGACGCCGCGUGGAGGAAGAAGGUCUUCGGAUUGUAAACUCCUGUUGUUGAGGAAGAUAAUGACGGUACUCAACAAGGAAGUGACGGCUAACUACGUGCCAGCAGCCGCGGUAAAACGUAGGUCACAAGCGUUGUCCGGAAUUACUGGGUGUAAAGGGAGCGCAGGCGGGAAGACAAGUUGGAAGUGAAAUCUAUGGGCUCAACCCAUAAACUGCUUUCAAAACUGUUUUUCUUGAGUAGUGCAGAGGUAGGCGGAAUUCCCGGUGUAGCGGUGGAAUGCGUAGAUAUCGGGAGGAACACCAGUGGCGAAGGCGGCCUACUGGGCACCAACUGACGCUGAGGCUCGAAAGUGUGGGUAGCAAACAGGAUUAGAUACCCUGGUAGUCCACACCGUAAACGAUGAUUACUAGGUGUUGGAGGAUUGACCCCUUCAGUGCCGCAGUUAACACAAUAAGUAAUCCACCUGGGGAGUACGACCGCAAGGUUGAAACUCAAAGGAAUUGACGGGGGCCCGCACAAGCAGUGGAGUAUGUGGUUUAAUUCGACGCAACGCGAAGAACCUUACCAAGUCUUGACAUCCCUUGACGAUACUGGAAACAGUAUUUCUCUUCGGANCCAAGAGACAGGUGGUGCAUGGUUGUCGUCAGCUCGUGUCGUGAGAUGUUGGGUUAAGUCCCGCAACGAGCGCAACCCUUAUGGUCAGUUACUACGCAAGAGGACUCUGGCCAAACUGCCGUUGACAAAACGGAGGAAGGUGGGG